rnacentral:lncRNA from 1 species
GGGGCGUGGCCAUGCAGGCGCUGGUGUCGCCGGUGACGAAGGCGGUGCUGGUGGCGCUGUUCAUCUUCGCGAUCCUGCUGAUCCUGUACGUGAUCCUGUGGUACAUCUGCCGCGACGUGGACUGCGACCACGGCCUCUGACGUCAGCGCGUCACCCACCGCGUCAUCACCCGUGUCGUCAUCACCAGCGAGUGACGUCAUCAUCACCGUCAAUAUAUAUAUAUACGCACACAGACCAUCCGCCCGCUGUACGUGAUCCUGGGGUUCAUCUGCCGCGACGUGGACUGCGACCACGGCCUGUGACGUCAGCGCGUCACCCACCGCGUCAUCACCCGUGUCGUCAUCACCAGCGAGUGACGUCAUCGCCACCGUCAAUAUAUAUAUAUACGCACACACAGACCAUCCGCCCCUGUACGUGAUCCUGGGGUUCAUCUGCCGCGACGUGGACUGCGACCACGGCCUCUGACGUCGGCGCGUCACCCACCGCGUCAUCACCCGCGUCAUCACCAGCGAGUGACGUCAUCGCCACCAUCAAUAUAUAUAUACGCACACACAGACCAUCCGCCCGCUGUACGUGAUCCUGGGGUUCAUCUGCCGCGACGUGGACUGCGACCACGGCCUCUGACGUCAGCGCGUCACCCACCGCGUCAUCACCCGUGUCGUCAUCAUCCGUGAGUGACGUCAUCAUCACCGUCAAUAUACAUACACACACACAGACCAUCCGCCCGCUGUACGUGAUCCUGGGGUUCAUCUGCCGCGACGUGGACUGCGACCACGGCCUGUGACGUCAGCGCGUCACCCACCGCGUCAUCACCCGCGUCGUCAUCACCAGCGAGUGACGUCAUCGCCACCGUCAAUAUAUAUAUAUACGCACACAGACCAUCCGCCCGCUGUACGUGAUCCUGGGGUUCAUCUGCCGCGACGUGGACUGCGACCACGGCCUGUGACGUCAGCGCGUACGGGUGACGUCAUCAUCAGCGUCUUCAUCAUCCGUGAGUGACGUCAUCGCCACCGUCAAUAUAUAUAUACACACACAGACCAUCCGCCCGCUGAUCCUGUAUGUGAUCCUGUGGUUCAUCUGCCGCGACGUGGACUGCGACCACGGGCUGUGACGUCAGCGCGUCAUUGCGUUAUCCAUUGCGUCAUCUUCCGUGAGUGACGUCAUCAUCUAUAUUAUAUAUUAUAUAUAUAUAUAUAUAUAUAUAUAUAUAUAUGCACACAUAGAUCAUCCGCCCGCUGUACGUGACCCUGUGGUUCAUCGGCCUCUGACGUCAGGACGUCAUCCAUCGCGUCAUCCGUCAGUGAGUGACGUCAUCAUCAAAACAUCACCGUAUAUGUACACACAUAGAUCAUCCGCCCCCUGGUCCUGUACGUGAUCCUGUUAUACAUUUGCCGCGACGUCGACUGUGACCACCGGCUGUGAGGUCAGCGCGCGAGGGUGACGUCAUUAUCCGUGUCGUCAUCAUCAGUGAGUGACGUCGUCAUACAUAAAUAUGCAUAGAUACAGAUCAUCCGCCUGCUGUAUGUGACCCUGUGGUUCAUCUGACUCAACGUCGACUGUGAGACGUCGACUGCGACCCCGGCCUCUGACGUCAUGACGUCAGCCACCGCGUCAUCCUCAGUGAGUGACGUCAUCCGUCAGUGACGUCAUCGUCACAUCAAUAUAGAUAUAGAUCAUCCGCCCACUGACCCUGUGGUUCAUCUACUGUGACCUGCACUGCUCUGUCGUCAUGACGUAACACGCUACGUCAUCUCACGUCAUCAUCAGACUCAGAUCUACCGCGACCUGUCAUUUGACGUCAGUGGGACACGGCUGCCGCAUCCCAGUGACGUCAUCAGUAACGUCGCUCAUCUGCUGUGACGCUGACUGACACCGCAACCUGUGACACCAUCACGGACGAGGGCAGCGAGGGCGUCUGUGACGUCAGAGAGUGACAGUCCAGGUCGGUGUCCCGCAGAGAGUGUGACGUCAGACAACAGUCCCGCCCCGCCGUGGGGUCUCCGACACACACGUGGGAGGUCAGAGUGACCCCAGGGUGACGUCAGCGCAGAGCGACCACCGAGUGACCCCAGAGUGACUUCAGCACAGAGUGAUCCCAGAGUGACGUCAGCACAGAGUGACCCCAGAGUGACGUCAGGGAAGAGCGACCCCAUAGUGACCCCAGAGUGACGUCAGCGAUACCCCGUACCGACCGGGAGCCCAGGACCUGACGUGCAGAUUUAUGAAAAUUAACGCUGACGAGGGUGAUCUGAGCUGCGGAGAGGAUGAACGCAAAUCUGCGCGGCUCCCGCUCGCUCCU